AUGGAAAAUCCCAAGGAAAGUUGGUACUCAAGGUUUUUAAGGGCAAAAUCCAAACAGUAUGGAGUGUCAGGGGGAUGCACCAGUUGCUCCCUGCCGUGCACCUGCUGCCCAGACCUUCGGUCUAUCUCUGCAUGGGGUUCCUUAGGCCAAUGGAGAAUGUGCCUCCAAGUUCCUCUGGUACCUCUUUCUUCAACCUUCUACUUCCCCCUCUUCACACCCUCCUUCCUUUCACCUUCUGUCAAAUUUUCGCAUCUCCCCACGUCCCCCCUGCCUCCCUCUUCUGCCAGGAUGACCAAAACCCUGGCCUCCUCUUACGGUUUUGAAGUUAUCCUAGCCACCAGGCUAUUCUCUUCACCAUCCAGUUUUGCCACGGGGAAUGCAGAUGCUCUGCUCUAGUCAGCCCCUGAGGAUCUAGAGCUUGGUUCAUUUUUUUUUUUUUUAAGAUUUUAUUUAUUUAUUUGACAGAGACAGCCAGCGAGAGAGGGAACCCAAGCAAGUGGAGUGGGAGAGGAAGAAGCAGGCUCCUAGCAGAGAAGCCUGAUGUGGGGCUCGAUCCCAGAACGCUGGGAUCACACCCUGAGCCGAAGGCAGAUGCUUAUCGACUGCGCCACCCAGGCGCCCCUAGAGCUUGGUUCAAAUCUUAACUGGUACCUCAACCAUCUUCCAAAGGGGAAGAUUCAGGCACUGAGCUCCUGCAUUUAUUAGGGCAGCCAAAGACCUUCAGGCAUAAGGAAAAAGCUCAAGGCUGGUAGGAUGGUUUCCUAUAUCAACCGUGGAGCACCCCCCAUAUUUUCCAGUAGGAGAUGCAACGAACUUUAUAUAGGAUUCCAGAGCUUGCAGGGUCAAGACUCUAGUGGUAUAAGUUAAGGUGUCCCCAGUAAUGGACACAGCUGGCCUUGUCCAUGGGGUGCGCUUCCUCUGAAGCAGUCUAUUGAGCAGGCUGAGAAACACCAGCAAGGGCGGCCUCAAAUACAUCAGGCCACCACUUGAACCAAUUCUUCAUAUAAAAGUUGGUCAAUCUUUCCUGAAAUUUUAGUUGUCUAGAUUGGAAUCCUAAGCUAGCAGGCAAAAUUCUAGAUCCUAGUGACUGACUGGCACCUUCCCCCCACUUCGUAGCUAAAUCCCGCCCAACACAGUUCUUGGGGAUACAGGUACUAGAUAAUUCCCACGCUCAUUUUUGUUCCUUUUGAGCUUUUCUAUUUAGACAGAGACCAGAAACAAACACCAUGUUCUCAGCUUCACCUGAGCGUGACAAGAUCCUGGUACACAACAAUUGUCCUGCUGCACAGAACUGGGACAUUUAUUAGGGCUACCGGGAGAAAACUCCAGGAAAGCUGCUGAGGCAAGGCCUGUAUCUCCAGGGCAACCUUUUGGACCAACAGGGCUCAGGUCUCCACCCUUGACUCAACCAACCGGUUGGUUAGGACUUCACCCAAAGAGUGGAUUGUGUACCCAGGGGGUAGUUUCCUUAACCUGUGGGCUCACAGUUGUCAGCCUGCAGACUCCUGUCUCUUCUCGUUUCGAGUUCCUCUUGUGACCUGGGCCUGGAAGUGUAGGCGCGCCCUUCUGGAAGGGCAUCUGCAGGCUUUCCACCACUCUGCCCUUCAGCUAUGCUUUUUGAAAAAACAUAUUUAUGAAGGUAUAAUUGAAAUACAAUAAACCAGACAGAUGUAAAGUAUGCA
rnacentral:lncRNA from 1 species